CCAACAUGGACAAUCCUGUGAGAUGGCUCUGUCCGUGUGGCAUAAGGGAGUGUAGCACUUAAGUGCCUUGAUGCAUAGUCAUGUUCCUCGAUGCUGGAUAUCAAGCUUGUCCCCAGCCUCUGGUUGGUGUGAGCAGCGUUCUGUAUAUUCCUACUAACUUCCAGAGCUAUCUGGGUUGUGUCCGGGGAGGUAAACCAUGCAGCGCACAUGC